UACGUAGGGUCCGAGCGUUGUCCGGAAUUACUGGGCGUAAAGGGCGCGUAGGCGGCCGAUCAAGUCAGGCGUGAAAUUCCCGGGCUCAACCUGGGGGCUGCGCUUGAUACUGAUUGGCUUGAAUGCGGGAGAGGAUAGUGGAAUUCCCAGUGUAGAGGUGAAAUUCGUAGAUAUUGGGAAGAACACCGGUGGCGAAGGCGGCUAUCUGGCCCGUAAUUGACGCUGAGGCGCGAAAGCGUGGGGAGCAAACAGG
rnacentral:rRNA from 1 species